rnacentral:rRNA from 1 species
AUUGAACGCUGGCGGAAUGCUUUACACAUGCAAGUCGAGCGGCAGCCGGGGCAACCUGGCGGCGAGCGGCGAACGGGUGAGUAAUACAUCGGAACGUGCCCAGACGUGGGGGAUAACUACUCGAAAGAGUGGCUAAUACCGCAUACGAUCUAAGGAUGAAAGCGGGGGAUCGCAAGACCUCGCGCGUUUGGAGCGGCCGAUGGCAGAUUAGGUAGUUGGUGGGGUAAAGGCUUACCAAGCCCGCGAUCUGUAGCUGGUCUGAGAGGAUGAUCCGCCACACUGGGACUGAGACACGGCCCAGACUCCUACGGGAGGCAGCAGUGGGGAAUUUUGGACAAUGGGCGCAAGCCUGAUCCAGCCAUGCCGCGUGAGUGAAGAAGGCCUUCGGGUUGUAAAGCUCUUUCGGUGGGGAAGAAAUUGCACGGGCGAAUACCCUGUGUAGAUGACGGUACCUGAAGAAGAAGCACCGGCUAACUACGUG